UACGAAGGGGGCUAGCGUUGCUCGGAAUCACUGGGCGUAAAGGGUGCGUAGGCGGGUUCUUAAGUCAGAGGUGAAAUCCUGGAGCUCAACUCCAGAACUGCCUUUGAUACUGAGAGUCUUGAGUUCGGGAGAGGUGAGUGGAACUGCGAGUGUAGAGGUGAAAUUCGUAGAUAUUCGCAAGAACACCAGUGGCGAAGGCGGCUCACUGGCCCGAUACUGACGCUGAGGUGCGAAAGCGUGGGGAGCAAACAGG
rnacentral:rRNA from 1 species